rnacentral:rRNA from 1 species
GAUGAACGCUAGCGGCAGGCCUAAUACAUGCAAGUCGAACGAGAUUAAGAGGCUUGCUUCUUAUGAAAGUGGCGCACGGGUGCGUAACGCGUAUGCAACCUACCUUAAUCAGGGGGAUAGCCCGAAGAAAUUCGGAUUAAGACCGCAUAAAAACACAGGAUAGCAUUAUCCAAUGUUCAAAUAUUUAUAGGAUUAAGAUGGGCAUGCGUAUCAUUAGCUAGUUGGCGGGGUAACGGCCCACCAAGGCGACGAUGACUAGGGGAUCUGAGAGGAUGACCCCCCACACUGGUACUGAGACACGGACCAGACUCCUACGGGAGGCAGCAGUAAGGAAUAUUGGUCAAUGGAGGGAACUCUGAACCAGCCAUGCCGCGUGCAGGAAGACAGCCCUCUGGGUCGUAAACUGCUUUUAGUCGGGAAUAAACCUUUCUACGUGUAGGAAGCUGAAUGUACCGAAGGAAUAAGGAUCGGCUAACUCCGUG